UAACCAUUGAGCAAAAGAA
rnacentral:piRNA from 1 species